rnacentral:tRNA from 7 species
CGGGGAGUGGCGCAGCCUGGUAGCGCAUCUGCUUUGGGAGCAGAGGGUCGCUGGUUCGAAUCCAGUCUCCCCGACCA